GAACGGGUGAGUAACGCGUAGGUAACCUGCCUGAUAGCGGGGGAUAACUAUUGGAAACGAUAGCUAAUACCGCAUAACAGUAUUUACUGCAUGGUAGAUACUUAAAAGGAGCAAUUGCUUCACUAUCAGAUGGACAUGCGUUGUAUUAGCUAGUAGGUAGGGUAACGGCCUACCUAGGCUUCGAUACAUAGCCGACCUGAGAGGGUGAUCGGCCACACUGGGACUGAGACACGGCCCAGACUCCUACGGGAGGCAGCAGUAGGGAAUCUUCGGCAAUGGGGGCAACCCUGACCGAGCAACGCCGCGUGAGUGAAGAAGGUUUUCGGAUCGUAAAGCUCUGUUGUAAGAGAAGAACGUUAGUGGGAGUGGAAAAUCCAUUAAGCUUGACGGUAUCUUACCAGAAAGGGACCGCUAACUACGUGCCAGCAGCCGCGGUAAUACGUAGGUCCCGAGCGUUGUCCGGAUUUAUUGGGCGUAAAGCGAGCGCAGGUGGUUAGAUAAGUCUGAAGUAAAAGGCAGUGGCUCAACCAUUGUAUGCUUUGGAAACUGUUUAACUUGAGUGCAGAAGGGGAGAGUGGAAUUCCAUGUGUAGCGGUGAAAUGCGUAGAUAUAUGGAGGAACACCGGUGGCGAAAGCGGCUCUCUGGUCUGUAACUGACACUGAGGCUCGAAAGCGUGGGUAGCGAACAGGAUUAGAUACCCUGGUAGUCCACGCCGUAAACGAUGAGUGCUAGAUGUUAGGCCCUAUCCGGGGCUUAGUGUCGAAGCUAACGCGAUAAGCACUCCGCCUGGGGAGUACGGCCGCAAGGCUGAAACUCAAAGGAAUUGACGGGGGCCCGCACAAACGGUGGAGCAUGUGGUUUAAUUCGAAGCAACGCGAAGAACCUNACCAGGUCUUGACAUCCCCUCUGACCGUCCUAGAGAUAGGAUUUUCCUUCGGGACAGAGGAGACAGGUGGUGCAUGGUUGUCGUCAGCUCGUGUCGUGAGAUGUUGGGUUAAGUCCCGCAACGAGCGCAACCCCUGUUGUUAGUUGCCAUCAUUAAGUUGGGCACUCUAGCGAGACUGCCGGUAACAAACCGGAGGAAGGUGGGGAUGACGUCAAAUCAUGCCCCUUAUGACCUGGGCUACACACGUGCUACAAUGGUCGGUACAACGAGUCGCAAGUCGGUGACGACAAGCAAAUCUCUUAAAGCCGAUCUCAGUUCGGAUUGUAGGCUGCAACUCGCCUACAUGAAGUCGGAAUCGCUAGUAAUCGCGGAUCAGCACGCCGCGGUGAAUACGUUCCCGGGCCUUGUACACACCGCCCGUCACACCACGAGAGUUUGUAACACCCGA
rnacentral:rRNA from 1 species